UACGUAGGGUGCGAGCGUUGUCCGGAAUUAUUGGGCGUAAAGGGCUCGUAGGCGGUUUGUCACGUCGAUCGUGAAAACUUGGGGCUUAACUCUGAGCUUGCGGUCGAUACGGGCAUCACUGGAGUUCGGCAGGGGAGACUGGAAUUCCUGGUGUAGCGGUGAAAUGCGCAGAUAUCGAGGAGGAACACCGGUGGCGAAGGCGGGUCUCGUGGGCCGAUGACUGACGCUGGAGGAG
rnacentral:rRNA from 1 species